AUGGUCUUUGCAGGAAAGGAGAAGUGGACAGCAACAUCACUGAAGCAGAAAAAAUAGCAGACUGCUGUAACUUGCUGGGUAUGGGUGAUUUGCCCAGUGAUUUGCCCAGAUCACCAAAUAAUCUGCUCAAAUCACAGACCAAAUCACUGGAGCAGACAGACUUGAUAGAGAGUGAUUUGCCCAGAUCACCAGAUAAUCUGCCCAAAU
rnacentral:lncRNA from 1 species